rnacentral:lncRNA from 1 species
GAGGAUGUAGCGAUGUCCCUUCUCAUCGGGCAGCAUUCCACACGAUGAUUCGGGGAUCCAGGGCCCCAUGGGUGGUGGCCCUGUUGUCCCCCUGGCCCCUUAUUGCUGGGCUUCAUCAUUUUGGGUGCCAUGGACCUCUUUGGGUGGUCUGAUGAAUGGGCUUUUUCUCAGAAUAAUGUCUUUAAACUAAACAUAAACUAAAACACACAGGAUAACGAAGAAGGCAACAUGAAAACGUGAUUUCGAGGAGUAGCAAAAUCACCGAUCCUGACACAGCCACCAUGUUUUUCCACCUGCAUUCAUAAUUGAAGGAAAUACUGAAAAUCAGAGAGAGGUUGAAAAGAGCAGAGGGUCUCUUGUUUCCAUGUUCUUCAGCUGGGACCACAGGCAUGAAGAAAUAUUCUGGAUGAGAGACAGAUGAUUUGAGUUUUCGUUCUGCCACAGACAUGAGUGAUCCUGGGCAAGUCGCGGAACCAUCCUGAAUGUGGAAGUGAAAUUGGUAAAGCAGGGCUAAAAUCCAGACAAGUGGGGCUCAAUAAAGUAAUGCUGAGUUGGAACGGGCUUUGUGAGGUACAAAGUUUCACCUGACGCCCCGCCAGGCUAGAAGGCAGGAGCUCAGUCUCUGCUUGUUCAACAUUUCUGAGGACCUACUGAGUUGUCCUUCCCUGGGCCCUGGGCAUGCAGAAAGAAGAAGGCAUAUCUCCCGCCUUGAGGGGAUCACAGCCACAUGCGGAGGACAGCCAUGCAAACAAGCAAACCCAGUGCUGCUUCCCGCCCUCCCGACUCCUUACUGCAGGGUGUCCUCGUCAAGUGACAUUUCUUCUGCGACUGUAUGUCUCCGCUCAGAGACCCCAUGCAACGCUUCAGAUGAAAAGCCUUUAAAUUCCAGCGUCACGUUAUCAAUCCUUAUGCCUGUAUCAUACUAUGUUGAUUACUGCUGUUUUAUGGCAAAUCCUCAAGUCAGAUAGUUUAAGCCCUUCAACUUGGUUUUUCUCUUAAGGGAUUUCUUUGGAUAUUCUAGAUCCUUUGAAUUUCCAUAUAAACUUUAGAAUCUGCUUACCAAUUUUUUUUUUAAAGAUUUUAUUUUUCCUUUUUCUCCCAAAGCCCCCCGGUACACAGUUGUGUAUUUUUAGUUGUGGGUCCUUCUAGUUGUGGCAUGUGGGAUGCCGCCUCAGAAUGACUUGACCAGCAGUGCCGUGUCCACACCCAGGAUUCGAACCGGUGAAAUCCUGGGCUGCUGAAGCAGAGCGCUCAAACUUAACCACUCAGCCGUGGGGCUGGCCCCACCAAUUCUUAUUUUAAAAAUCUGCUGAGAUUUUGAUUGUGACUGAGUUACUGAGCUGAAUGUAUAGAUCAAUUUGAGAAGAACUGGCAUCUUAACAAUAUUGUCUUCCAAUCAACGAAUAUGAUGUAUCUCUUCAUUUACCUGGAUUUUCUUUAAUUUCUCUUAACAAUGUUUUAUAGUUUUCAGUGUAGACGUCUUUUACAUCUUUUACUAAAUUUAUGCUUAAAUAUUUUACGUUUUUGAGGGGAUUGUAAAUGGACUUGUUUUAAAUUUAAUUUUUCAAUUAUUUGCUAC